CACGUAGGCACCAAGCGUUGUCCGGAUUUAUUGGGCGUAAAGAGCUCGUAGGCGGUUCGGUAAGUCGGGUGUGAAAACUUUGGGCUCAACCCAAAGCCUGCACCCGAUACUGCUGUGACUCGAGUCCGGUAGGGGAGUGGGGAAUUCCUGGUGUAGCGGUGGAAUGCGCAGAUAUCAAGAGGAACACCUGAGGUGAAGACGGGUUGCUGGGCUGAUACUGACGCUGAGGCGCGAAAGCUAGGGUAGCAAACGGG
rnacentral:rRNA from 1 species